UACGUAGGUGGCGAGCGUUGUCCGGAUUUAUUGGGUUUAAAGGGUGCGUAGGCGGCCCUGUAAGUCAGUGGUGAAAUACUCCAGCUUAACUGGAGGGGUGCCAUUGAUACUGCAGGGCUUGAGUGGAGUCGAAGUAGGCGGAAUUGACGGUGUAGCGGUGAAAUGCUUAGAUAUCGUCAAGAACACCGAUAGUGAAGACAGCUUACUAGGCUUCUACUGACGCUGAGGCACGAAAGUGUGGGGAUCAAACAGG
rnacentral:rRNA from 1 species